rnacentral:rRNA from 1 species
UACGAAGGGGGCUAGCGUUGCUCGGAAUCACUGGGCGUAAAGCGCACGUAGGCGGCUUUUUAAGUCAGGGGUGAAAUCCUGGAGCUCAACUCCAGAACUGCCUUUGAUACUGAGAAGCUUGAGUCCGGGAGAGGUGAGUGGAACUGCGAGUGUAGAGGUGAAAUUCGUAGAUAUUGGGAAGAACACCGGUGGCGAAGGCGGCUCACUGGCUCAUAUCUGACGCUCAGGCGCGACAGCGUGGGGAUCAAACAGG